rnacentral:rRNA from 1 species
GACGAACGCUGGCGGCGUGCCUAAUACAUGCAAGUCGAGCGGAAGUUGGAGAGCUUGCUCUUCAAUUUUAGCGGCGGACGGGUGAGUAACACGUGGGCAACCUGCCCUGCAGAUCGGGAUAACUCCGGGAAACCGGUGCUAAUACCGAAUAGUUUUCGCCACCUCCUGGUGGCGUACGGAAAGACGGUUUCGGCUGUCACUGCAGGAUGGGCCCGCGGCGCAUUAGCUAGUUGGGGGGGUAACGGCCCACCAAGGCAACGAUGCGUAGCCGACCUGAGAGGGUGAUCGGCCACACUGGGACUGAGACACGGCCCAGACUCCUACGGGAGGCAGCAGUAGGGAAUCUUCCGCAAUGGACGAAAGUCUGACGGAGCAACGCCGCGUGAGUGACGAAGGUUUUCGGAUCGUAAAACUCUGUUGUGAGGGAAGAACAAGUACCACUUAACUACUGGUACCUUGACGGUACCUCACCAGAAAGCCACGGCUAACUACGUGCCAGCAGCCGCCGUAA